AGAGUUUGAUCCUGGCUCAGAACGAACGCUAGCGGCGUGGUUGAGGCAUGCAAGUCGAACGAGAAAGCACCUUCGGGUGCGAGUAAAGUGGCGAAUGGGAGCGGAACGGGUGGACAACCUACCCUUGGGAUGAGGACAACCCCGGGAAACUGGGGCUAAUACUCGAUGAUAUCUACCUUCAUAAGAAGGUAGCUCAAAGGUCGUUUCGGCGGCCGCCCAAGGAGGGGUCUGCUCACCAUUAGUUUGUUGGUGAGGUAACGGCUCACCAAGACGGCGAUGGUUACGGGGCCUGAGAGGGUGUACCCGCUCACUGGGACUGAGACACUGCCCAGACUCCUACGGGAGGCUGCAGUUUCGAAUAGUUCGCAAUGGAGGAAACUCUGACGACGCGACGCCGCGUGGAGGAUGAAGGCUCUUGGGUCGUAAACUCCUUUCGCUUGGGAAGAACUCCUUUGGCUAAAACCAGAGGCUUGACGUUACCAAGUAAAGAAGAUCCGGCUAAAUCCGUGCCAGCAGCCGCGGUAAUACGGAUGGAUCGAGCGUUGUUCGGAAUUACUGGGCAUAAAGGGUGCGUAGGCGGCGAUGUAAGUCAGGCGUGAAAUCUCCGGGCCUAAUCCGGAACGUGCGUUUGAUACUGCAUUGCUUGAGGGCGGGAGAGGAGAGUGGAAUUCCAGGUGUAGCGGUGAAAUGCGUAGAUAUCUGGGAGAACACCAGUGGCGAAGGCGACUCUCUGGACCGCUUCUGACGCUGAGGCACGAAAGCUAGGGGAGCGAACGGGAUUAGAUACCCCGGUAGUCCUAGCCGUAAACGAUGGGCACUACGUGGUGGGUUCUUUCGAGAGCUCGCUGCCGCAGCUAAUGCAUUAAGUGCCCCGCCUGGGGAGUACGGUCGCAAGGCUAAAACUCAAAGGAAUUGACGGGGGCUCACACAAGCGGUGGAGGAUGUGGCUUAAUUCGAAGCAACACGAGAACCUUACCGGGGCUUGACAUGUACGUGGUACCAACCCGAAAGGGAAGGGACCACCUUCGGGUGGAGCGUACACAGGUGUUGCAUGGCUGUCGUCAGCUCGUGUCGUGAGAUGUAGGGUUAAGUCCCGUAACGAGCGCAACCCCUAUCUCUAGUUGCCAUCGGGUAAUGCCGGGCACUUUAGAGAGACUGCCGCGAUCAAGCAGGAGGAAGGUGGGGAUGACGUCAAGUCAUCAUGGCCCUUAUGUCCCGGGCUGCACACGUCCUACAAUGGCUGGUACAGUGAGAAGCAAGACCGUGAGGUGGAGCAAAUCUCCAAAGCCAGUCCCAGUUCGGAUUGAAGGCUGCAAUUCGCCUUCAUGAAGUCGGAAUCGCUAGUAAUCGCAGGUCAGAUAUACUGCGGUGAAUAUGUUCCUGAGCCUUGUACACACCGCCCGUCAAGUCAUGAGAGUCGACAGGGCCUGAAGUCGUUUGUCUAACCUUCGGGGGGACGGCGCCGACGGCCCAGGUUGGUAAUUGGGACUAAGUCGUAACAAGGUAACC
rnacentral:rRNA from 1 species